UACGUAGGGUGCGAGCGUUAAUCGGAAUUACUGGGCGUAAAGCGUGCGUAGGCGGUUGGCAAAGUCAGCUGUGAAAGCCCCGGGCUUAACCUGGGAAUGGCGGUUGAAACUAGUCGACUCGAAUCUGGCAGAGGGGGGUGGAAUUCCACGUGUAGCAGUGAAAUGCGUAGGGAUGUGGAGGAACACCGAUGGCGAAGGCAGCCCCCUGGGCUGAGAUUGACGCUCAGGCACGAAAGCGUGGGGAGCAAACAGG
rnacentral:rRNA from 1 species